rnacentral:rRNA from 1 species
UACGUAGGGUGCGAGCGUUAAUCGGAAUUACUGGGCGUAAAGCGUGCGCAGGCGGUUGUGCAAGACCGAUGGGAAAUCCCCGGGCUUAACCUGGGAAUGGCAUUGGUGACUGCACGGCUAGAGUGUGUCAGAGGGGGGUAGAAUUCCACGUGUAGCAGUGAAAUGCGUAGAUAUGUGGAGGAAUACCGAUGGCGAAGGCAGCCCCCUGGGAUAACACUGACGCUCAUGCACGAAAGCGUGGGGAGCAAACAGG